AGCUCCAAUAGCGUAUAUUAAAGUUGUUGCGGUCAAAAAGCUCGUAGUUGGAUCUCGGCGAGUAGGGGGCGGUUCGUUAUUCGACGUUACUGCCCCAUUUACUCGUGUUUUUGACGGAGGUUUCAGGGUGCUCUUAAUCGAGUGUCCUGAGAUGCCGUCAGGUUUACUUUGAAAAAAUUAGAGUGCUCAAAGCAGGCUUUACACGCUUGAAUAUUAGUGCAUGGAAUAAUAGAAUAGGAUGUCGUGUCCUUUUUGUUGGUUGUAGGAUAUUGACAUAAUGAUUAAUAGGGACAGUCGGGGGCAUUAGUAUUCAGACGACAGAGGUGAAAUUCUUGGACCGUCUGAAGACUAACUACUGCGAAAGCAUUUGCCAAGAAUGUUUUCAUUAAUCAAGAACGAA
rnacentral:rRNA from 1 species